CCCUUAGAUGUUCUGGGCCGCACGCGCGCUACACUGUUCGACGCAGCGAGUCUUAACCUUGACCGAAAGGUUUGGGUAAUCUUCAGCAAAGUCGAACGUGAUGGGGAUCGAUCAUUGCAAUUAUUGAUCGUGAACGAGGAAUUCCUAGUAAGUGCAAGUCAUCAGCUUGCGCUGAUUACGUCCCUGCCCUUUGUACACACCGCCCGUCGCUACUACCGAUUGAAUGGUUUAGUGAGAUCUCUGGAUUGACGCUGGCUAGGGGGCGACCCUUGGCCAGACUGUUGAGAAACUGCUCAAACUUGAUCAUUUAGAGGAAGGAGAAGUCGUAACA
rnacentral:rRNA from 1 species